rnacentral:rRNA from 1 species
CCUUAGGGACUGCGGAGGGACAUUACACAAAUAUGAAGGCGGGCUGGAACCUCUCGGGGUUACAGCCUUGCUGAAUUAUUCACCCUUGUCUUUUGCGUACUUCUUGUUUCCUUGGUGGGUUCGCCCACCACUAGGACAAACAUAAACCUUUUGUAAUUGCAAUCAGCGUCAGUAACAAAUUAAUAAUUACAACUUUCAACAACGGAUCUCUUGGUUCUGGCAUCGAUGAAGAACGCAGCGAAAUGCGAUAAGUAGUGUGAAUUGCAGAAUUCAGUGAAUCAUCGAAUCUUUGAACGCACAUUGCGCCCUUUGGUAUUCCAAAGGGCAUGCCUGUUCGAGCGUCAUUUGUACCCUCAAGCUUUGCUUGGUGUUGGGCGUCUUGUCUCUAGCUUUGCUGGAGACUCGCCUUAAAGUAAUUGGCAGCCGGCCUACUGGUUUCGGAGCGCAGCACAAGUCGCACUCUCUAUCAGCAAAGGUCUAGCAUCCAUUAAGCCUUUUUUUCAACUUUUGACCUCGGAUCAGGUAGGGAUACCCGCUGAACUUAAGCAUAUCAUA